rnacentral:rRNA from 1 species
GACGAACGCUGGCGGCGUGCUUAACACAUGCAAGUCGAACGGAAAGGCCCUGCCUUUGUGGGGUGCUCGAGUGGCGAACGGGUGAGUAACACGUGAGUAACCAGUCCUUGACUUUGGGUUAACUUCAGGAAACUGGGGCUCAUACCGGCUAGGAGCUCUUGCUGCAUGGUGGGGGCAGGUAAGUUUCGGUGGUUGGGGAUGGACUGGCGGCUUAUCAGCUUGUUGGUGGGGUGGUCGCGUACCAAGGCUUUGACGGGUAGCCGGCCUGAGGGGGGGACCGGCCACAAUGGGGCGGAUAUGCGGCCGAGACGCCUACGGGGGGAAGCAGUGGGGAAUAUUGCACAAUGGGCGGAGGCCUGAUGCAGCAACGCCGCGUGCGGGAUGACGGCCGUCGGGGUGUAAACCGCUUUCGCCUGCGACGAAGCGAGAGAGAGGGUAAUGAGUAAAGAAGCACCGGCUAACUACG